CCUACGGGCGACAGCAGUGGGGAAUAUUGGGCAAUGGGCGCAAGCCUGACCCAGCAACGCCGCGUGAAGGAAGAAGGCCCUCGGGUUGUAAACUUCUUUUGUCAGGGACGAAACAAAUGACGGUACCUGACGAAUAAGCCACGGCUAACUACGUGCCAGCAGCCGCGGUAAUACGUAGGUGGCAAGCGUUAUCCGGAUUUACUGGGUGUAAAGGGCGUGUAGGCGGGAGAGCAAGUCAGAUGUGAAAUUCCAGGGCUCAACCCUGGAACUGCAUUUGAAACUGUUUUUCUUGAGUGAUGGAGAGGCAGGUGGAAUUCCGUGUGGAGCGGUGAAAUGCGUAGAUAUAAGGAGGAACACCAGUGGCGAAGGCGGCCUGCUGGACAUUAACUGACGUUGAGGCGCGAAAGCGUGGGGAGCAAACAGGAUUAGAUACCCUUGUAGUC
rnacentral:rRNA from 1 species